rnacentral:lncRNA from 1 species
AUACGUCAAAUACAUGUCUUUGCUCUGUGUACUUGAAUGGGUAUUUUGUGAACCGGUAAUGAUAAAUAGGAAUUCUCAUAUUUUAUGCUAACCUGGUAUUUGGAGAAAUUAAUAUACUCUUACGGACUAUUAGUCGGGUGUUUUUUAGGUGAAAAUAUUGUCUCCAUUUAGACACGUAUGUAUCUUCAACUCUAAUUUGUAUUUUUGUAAAUGCACAAAAUUUAGUGUGUGAAGGAAUAUUAAUAUUUGCCUUUAUUGUAUAUAAUUCUUAUGUUAAGAAUUUCUUCCAUUUAUGAAAAUUGAAGGUGAUUGUAUUUUUGAAUGUUUCUUCAGGUUGGGGGGGGGGGGGUAAAGAAAGAAACAAUCCUACCACUAUUCAUGCCUUACUAUGAUAAUAGUUUUUUUAAUUUUAACUACUGCAAGUGCAAUUAGCAUACUACAAAUGACUGUAAAUGAAGUUGUUCUGUAAUUGUCAGAACUCUCCCAUCUCACUAUCAAUAUUCCAUCAGGAUGUAUGGGUAAGUCACAUCAAGAUAAUUUGGAUGAUGUUUGUGACAAAACAAUUUUACUUAUCUACUUUGCACCAAAAUCAAAUCCAUUGUAUAUUAAAGAUCAUUGUAAAUACAUUGUCAGCUGUCAUUUUUAUAUAUACAAUUCCUUAGUGGGGCAAUAUAUAUCAAUAUUCAUCUCAUAUUUUACUAUUUUCAUAUCUUGUCCAAAUCAGCUGAGUAAUUUUAUUAUAUUGUAUUGUAUAUAGCAUGAAUGUACUGCAACUACAGCAAGAAUAAGGCAAAUAUAUUGUGAAGUAUGAUAAAGAUAAGAAAUAUGGACUACAGGUUGAUUAUUAUUAUUGGCAAGAAAGGAAGUUGUGUCAAGUUUAGUGAAAGGGUAAUUAAUGAAGCCACCGGUUACAUACUGUAAUAACACAGAAUAAAGUGGUGACUAACUACAAGAAACAGAGACCUGUUGUGGUCUUUGCUUCCUCAAAAUAGUUAUAUUUGUCACUGCACAAAAGAAUGGAGAUUUACUCCUAUGAGUUAAGGUACUAUACUGAACGCACAAAACUAAUCAUGGUUAUCUGUAUUCUUGUACUAGAGCUGUUUUUAUUUAUGUACAUAAAACAGUAUAAGGUAGAAAACUGUAAAUAUGUUAUUCUUGGCCAUUUCUUAGGAAUCGUUUCACUGCAAUAUAUUUUAGAAGCAUUUGUGUUUAGUGGACAUCAUUCAAGCUAGGUGGAUAUUUCUUUUGAUUUUAUUUUACUACAUGCAUAUACGUGUACUGUAUCAAUCUACAUGUACAUGUAUGGUGUACAAUACUAAUAAAUGCAUUUCUUUGUAAUUGUAACAUGUGUGCAAUUUGGUCAAAAAUUGUCAAUCUUGUAAGCAAUAUAUCGCCUGCUGAGAGCUGAAACUCUUUUUAAAGUGACAAGAUAUCGACACCCUUCCGGGUGAUUCCCUCUUGUGUGGUAUAUAUCCUUUAUCCAUUUAUUCCAUCCAAAAAUGAAAAAUCUUCUGAUAUUAUCUGUUUAGCGCCAGAAGGGUGUUAACUCUGUGCUAAAGUAUAUGGGUAAAUGCCCUUCUGGCUCAAAACACACAACAUAUCUACUGACAACGGUAGUGGCACAGGAUAGAACCACGAGUCAACGGUCAUAUGAAAUACUUUCAUUAUUGGAUCACUUGGAUGAAAUCAAUGCAAAGAAGUGCUCUUCUGGCUCUCCAAAGAUGAAAUACACUAUAUACUCCAGUCAUACCAACGAGACCGACACAAGACCCCUCACACGAUUGUAGUACCCCACAAUGGCUUAGAAUCGCUCGGUUCGGAGUCGGUAUGGGGUCGGUUUGGAGUUGGUAUGGGGUCGGUUUGGAGUUGGUAUGGGGUCGGUUUGGAGUUGGUAUGGGGUCAGUUUGGAGUUGGUAUUGGGUCGGUUCAGAGUCGGUAUGGGGUCAGUUUGGAGUUGGUAUGGGGUCAGUUUGGUAGUGUGACUAAAGCAAAGGUACCGGGUACAUGUAUUAGCCUUUUGCUAUGCACUGUACGACUCAAAAUCCAUGUAUGCAUAUCACAUUGAUUAAAAGGGCUGUAUGUAAUAUUUACAUGCAAAGAAGGUACUGGUACUGUCUGCAGUACUGAAGUUCCAAGAUCAAAAUCUCAUGAAACAUGGUUUGCCUUUGAUAAUACUCUUUCAUUCUUGAUAACUGAUGAUGGUUAGAUGUGUGUGAUUGUUAUGUUCUUAUUUAGGAAUCAUUUGUUAAUUUCCUAUGUACAGCAGGGUCAACAGACUACAUGAAUGAAUAGUUGUCAAAUUAUUUGUUUAAAAAAUAUUUGCUUCCAUGUUUUAACAGGGUAAAUGAACAAAUGUCAUUCUAAAAAUUGAUUGUAUCCAUGUUUUAACAGGGUCUAUUACAGUGUAUGACGUGGUGGUGUCUUUAAAUGAUUCAGUACUUUUACUCAAAAAUCUUAAGUCAAACAAAAAUUUAAUAGAAUCAUUCACUCAAUAAUAUUUUUCACUCUUACUGUAUGUUUUGGAUUAGAAGCUGGUAUUCCAAACGAAAAUUUCCAAUUUGUGGGGGGAAAAUAGUUGAAUAGAUAACAAAUUGCACUCUUAAUGAAGGUAAAAGUAACAUGUAAGUAGACUAGCUAGUGGGUGUAUUUAUUCUUGCAAAAACAAAGCUCCUCAGGUCUUUGGACAAACCUAAUUAAUUUGUUAUUGGCAGGGUUGAUCAGUCCUCAUGAAAGUAAUGAUCUCAGUUGAAUAUUGAUGACAACUUUGUGUGAUUAUACAGGAUUGUUGUUUUCUCCUUUUUUGCUGGACACGUAAUUUGAAUUGAGAUAUAUGUAAUGUGUACAAACCCUUUUACACACAUACCUUCAAAUUGCAGUUGUGAGAAGUAAAAAUUAAUGUAAUAAGACUUGGUGACCAUAAAAAGCAUGUUCACAAUGGUAUAUUCUAACUGCAACAGUUUAACUUUUAGAUCAUAAAAUUGAUAUCAAAUAUAUUUUGUACCACAUCCAUCAAUAAAAAUAAUUUGUUUCUGCAAUACCGUACAUGUAUUUUGAAUAAAUAUUUAAUUCUCUUAUCUGGCUGUUUAAUAUUCAGACGUUGUCCAUUUCCAUUAAUGUAUGCAAGCUAGUGCUUUAUUCUGUCAUUUAUCUUUCCUAUUGUGAUGUCCAUAUGUAUAAGCUAUGCAGAACUAGUCUGAAAAAGAAAGAACUGAAAUUGCUACCAUUUGGAACUCAAUAAAGUAUAAUCUUUAUUUUAUGA